rnacentral:misc_RNA from 1 species
UAGUAUUCCAGUCACCCUUUUCAUGCUGCUGCAAUUUCCUCUCCUUAUUGAGAUAUUUGUAUCUACAUAUGGACCAAGCAUCUUUGAUAGAAAAAUGAAGUAUUGGUUCUGAACAUACUUCACAAGGCAAUUGAUACCCUCUUCAACUUUUUGUGUGCUAAGAAAGCAUGGUUCUUCUUAUGCAAAUAGAUUUUGUUGUAUUACUAUGGAAAGUGAAUAGUUCUUAAGGUGUGAUUUGAGCUAAUAUAUUUGUGUGGCUUUGCUCAUUGUCAGGCUUUGUAAGAGUGGGGUCACCUAACAUAAAGGGUUAUUGUAAUUCAUCAUUUAUUCAAUAUAUUGUGUGUAUAUGAAUAUAUAUCAACAAUGAACACUCCAAG